GAUGAAGAACGUAGUGAAAUGCGAUACUUGGUGUGAAUUGCAGAAUCCCGUGAACCAUCGAGUCUUUGAACGCAAGUUGCGCCUCAAGCCAUUAGGUUGAGGGCACGUCUGCCUGGGCGUCACAUAUCGUUGCCUGAUGCCAGUUUCCUCGUGAUGGGUGACUGUGCAGGGCGAAUGAUGGCUUCCCGUGAGCAUUGUUGCCUCAUGGUUGGUUGAAAAUUGAGUCCUUGGUAGGGAGCGCCGUGAUAGAUGGUGGUUGAGUGACAAACGAGACCCAAUCAUGUGAGACCCCUACCGAAUUUGGCCUUCAUGACCCACAUGCGUCUUUGGAACGCUCAUGACGAGACCUCAGGUCAGGCGGGGCUACCCGCUGAGUUUAAGCAUAUCAAUAAGCGGAGGA
rnacentral:misc_RNA from 1 species